rnacentral:rRNA from 1 species
UACGUAGGGACCGAGCGUUGUCCGGAAUUACUGGGCGUAAAGGGUGCGUAGGCGGUUCGUUAAGUCUGUUGUGAAAUCCCCGGGCUCAACCUGGGAAUGGCAAUGGAUACUGGCGAGCUAGAGUGUGAUAGAGGAUGGUGGAAUUCCCGGUGUAGCGGUGAAAUGCGUAGAGAUCGGGAGGAACAUCAGUGGCGAAGGCGGCCAUCUGGAUCAACACUGACGCUGAAGCACGAAAGCGUGGGGAGCAAACAGG